rnacentral:rRNA from 1 species
AGCGAACGCUGGCGGCAGGCUUAACACAUGCAAGUCGAACGGGCGUAGCAAUACGUCAGUGGCAGACGGGUGAGUAACGCGUGGGAACGUACCUUUUGGUUCGGAACAACCCAGGGAAACUUGGGCUAAUACCGGAUAAGCCCUUACGGGGAAAGAUUUAUCGCCGAAAGAUCGGCCCGCGUCUGAUUAGCUAGUUGGUGAGGUAACGGCUCACCAAGGCGACGAUCAGUAGCUGGUCUGAGAGGAUGAUCAGCCACAUUGGGACUGAGACACGGCCCAAACUCCUACGGGAGGCAGCAGUGGGGAAUAUUGGACAAUGGGCGCAAGCCUGAUCCAGCCAUGCCGCGUGAGUGAUGAAGGCCCUAGGGUUGUAAAGCUCUUUUACCCGGGAUGAUAAUGACAGUACCGGGAGAAUAAGCCCCGGCUAACUCCGUGCCAGCAGCCGC